GUUUGGGGGCGGGGCUCUUAAAGAGAAGGCGAGUUAGCUGCCUUUCGGGAAAGUUACAUUUAAACAAUAUCGUUUGCCAAAUUUACUCCACCUGGACUUUGUAUACUUGAAUUCUGUCCACACGACUCGCGCAGUUAGCAGUUUUUGCAUUGUUAUUCGCUCUUUAGAGCAGAACGUGUUGUAUCGCCUGAUGUCUGGUAGCAGUGACAUCUAAAGCUAUCCCUGACGUGGCCAUUCCAAAAUGUAUCCUUGUGACUUAAUGCCAUGUUAACUGUGUGGUCGUCAUGUGCUGUCACCAUUUUCUGUGUCAAAAUUAUCAGGUACCACUUUUCGGUUAGAGUCGAAUUCUUUCCUGGAGGGUUAGGGAAAUUGGUAAGAGUGGUUAAAUGGAGUUUUCUUUGGCUCUGCUUUUUCUUUUAUUCCUUUUUGAAUUUUUCUGGUGUAAAUGUAUUGUAACCAAUGAUUAACAUUCAGUAAAUGGUGUAGCAAUCUGGCAGAUAUUUACACCUGCAAAUAUGUUUUCCUCAAAUUAUCUUUUAUAGAUAGACAAAGAUUUCUUUGAAGAUUGCAUUAAUGGACGAACUGUUCAUGACGUCUUCGGGAAUUGAAAGUUUUCAGCUGAUAUGUUGAUGUACUCAUUUCAGGUUGACAAGUAAAGCAAGAAUCGAGAGACGAAUUAUCAACCUUGGACAGAACGGGGUCGAUUGUCCAGAAAUAAAGCAAGAGACCUGAGGAAAAUAUGAACCUUGGACAGAACGCAAGAAUCGGGGUCACUCCGCCAUCGUCUUCCACCGUCCACUACAGGCAGUUUUUAAGCAUCUGUAAAAGCUGUCUACCUUGCUGCAACAUCUUAGAAUACGCAUGUGUAUUAAGACAUACGUUUGAAUACAUUAAACGCAUGCGUUUGAAAGAAAUGUUUGUACCACAAAGUAGACAACCCUUGGAAAGAUAUAAAAAAUGUGUAGGCUAGUGGUGGGUGUCGUGGGGGAGGACGGAGGGCAAAAAAAAAAACUGUUUUAAAUUAAAGUAAUAUUACUGUAUUAUGAGAGUGUAAGAACAAUAUUGUGAUAUUUACUAUUGUAGUAUAUUAUUAAAAAUAUAUUUUGUAAUACUGUACUAUUGCAGUACUGAAAUGUAUUAAAAGAUGUUUGUACCUCAGGGUAGUUUGUCUUCUGUCAAGAGUUACGAAAACUGUUUAACAGGGGCGGCUGAGGGGAGGGGUAGAUGAGUGUUACACACUGAGUGUUUUACACUGUCUGAGUGCUCAAGUUAAUGAGCGCAAUAGAAAUAAAGGUAUUAUAGUUCUAACAGAGGCGGGUGUAGUGGGGGAUGGUGGACUAAUCGAACCCCAAUUCUUCAUUUUAUUCUCUGAAUUGGGGGUCGAUCCAAUUUUGCUUUCUUUCAAAGAUUGAUAAUUGUCUCUACUAUCAUUCUUAAGGCGAUCGUAUUCCUUGGUAUCCAGCUUUGGGUGGUCGAAGAAACC